rnacentral:rRNA from 1 species
GAUGAACGCUGGCGGCGUGCCUAACACAUGCAAGUCGAACGAUUAAAGCACCUUUGGGUGUGUAUAAAGUGGUGAACGGUUGAGUAACACGUUGGCAACCUGACUCUUUCAUUGGGAUAGCUACGGGAAACCGUGGAUAAUACCGAAUACUUCGAGACUCCCGCUUGGAAGACCCGAGAAAGCAACGGCGGAGAGGGAUGGGCCCGCGCCAUGUUAGCUUGUUGGUGUGGUAACGGCCUACCAAGGCAAUGAUGGGUAGCUGAGUUGAGAGACCGUCCAGCCAGGUUGGGACGGAGACACGACCCGGACUCCAACCGGAGGCAGCGGUGCAGAAGCGAACACUGUGGGCUAGAGCCUGAUGUGACGACGCCACGUGGGGGGUGAAGGCCAUCGGGUAGUGUUGCACAUUCAGCAUAGACGAGAUGAAAAUGACGGUACCUGCAGAAGAAGCCCCGGCUAACUACGUG